rnacentral:tRNA from 1 species
ACCUGGUUGGUUCAGUUGGUAGAGCAUGUGACUCUUGAUCUCAAGAUCAUGAGUUUGAGCCCCAUGUUGGGGG